CUGAGAGAUCUUUAUGAGGAUAUGGGCAUCAAUUCAUCACCUGAGGAGAGACUGACGUUUGUAUGCUAAUCUGAAAUUUGCAUACCAGUCAACAUUUGAAUCAAUCAAAUCAUGAACCAAAGAUCUAUCCAGAACAUCUACGGGUCUAUGUUGUACGUUUUCCAAAAUGAAGAAACGAGGACUCGACGGAAGACUCACCAUCCCAGAGGUCCACCGUCUGGAAGAUGUCAGUUUUGGUGACUCCGUAUUUCUCAGCGGCUGUGAGGAACUGUGAGAUCUGCUCCAUCUGCUUGAAGGCCAUGCCGGUGCUCUGGAACUUCUUCACUGG